GACGAACGCUGGCGGCGUGCUUAACACAUGCAAGUCGAACGGAAAGGCACUGCUUUUGUGGGGUUCCCGAGUGGCGAACGGGUGAGGAACACGUGAGUAACCUGCCCUUGACUUUGGGAUAACUUCAGGAAACGGGGGCUAAUACCGGAUAGCAGCUCCUGCAGGAUGGUGGGGGUUGGAAAGUCUCGGCGGUUGGGGAUGGACUGGCGGCUUAUCAGCUUGUUGGUUGGGGAGUGGCUUACCAAGGCAUUGACUGGUAGCCGGCCUGGGAGGGUGACCGGCGACAAUGGGACUAAGGUACGGCGCAGACUCCUACGGGAGGCAGCAGUGGGGAAUAUGGCACAAUGGGCGGAAGCGUGAUGAAGCAACGCCGCGUGCGGGAUGACGGCCUUCGGGUUGUAAACCGCAUUCGCCUGUGACGAAGCGGGAGUGACGGUAAUGAGUAAAGAAGCACCGGCUAACUACGUG
rnacentral:rRNA from 1 species